rnacentral:rRNA from 1 species
AUUGAACGCUGGCGGCAGGCUUAACACAUGCAAGUCGAGCGGAGCGAGGGUGCUUGCACCUUAGCUUAGCGGCGGACGGGUGAGUAAUGCUUAGGAAUCUGCCUAUUAGUGGGGGACAACAUUCCGAAAGGAAUGCUAAUACCGCAUACGCCCUACGGGGGAAAGCAGGGGAUCUUCGAACCUUGCGCUAAUAGAUGAGCCUAAGUCGGAUUAGCGAGUUGGUGGGGUAAAGGCCUACCAAGGCGACGAUCUGUAGCGGGCCUGAGAGGAUGGUCCGCCACACUGGGACUGAGACACGGCCCAGACUCCUACGGGAGGCAGCAGUGGGGAAUAUUGGACAAUGGGCGGAAGCCUGAUCCAGCCAUGCCGCGUGUGUGAAGAAGGCCUUUUGGUUGUAAAGCACUUUAAGCGAGGAGGAGGCUACUUAGAUUAAUACUCUGGGAUAGUGGACGUUACUCGCAGAAUAAGCACCGGCUAACUCUGUGCCAGCAGCCGCGGUAAUAC